CUCUGACACCGCCCUGGUUGAAGAAACCUGUGGUUGUUAUCUCAUUGCUGCCAGGUGUGAAUGUUUCACCACCUGGUCUUCACUGACACCCCAAGGAGGAGAGCUGACUUGUUCCUACUUCCAUUUGGCUUCUACUGAUGGGGGAGGCAGUCCUCGAUACUGCUGGGAGGUUGUGAAAUUCCAUGACUCCUGUUUAUCCUCCUCCAACACUAAUUCAGGAAGGAGAGAAGGGGGUGCCUCAUUACGCCCAUGUCAGAGUGUUUUUGCACACAUUAAAUGUAAAUAUGUCUGCUCAGAAAAUAAUUGCACCCAUUUCCAGUUGGAAAAAAAAUUCCAAUAACUUUUAAUCUUCCUGUUUCAUCUGUAUUACUACAUCAAGAGGUUCAAGAUCCAAAAAAUACGAUCUGCUGACAACAAUACAGCUGUAACUAGCCCUAUCUGUAAGAGUGCUUUAGCUCUAUUUGUAGGAAAGACUAAACUUUUCAUGGGAAGAAGUUUAUCAUAAGAGAAAUGCAGCCAGAUCCAAGGACGGAUGGAACAAUGCUGAGAUGGUCAUUAACGUGUAUGACUCCGAUUUAGUCUAGACCUUUUUCCCUCUUCUAUUCAUCACACACAAUUCAAGAUCUGCAUCUCCAAGUUGUUGGAGAGAGGUGGUGGCUGUUUGAACAAUACCACCAGUCUGUGGGCUUCUGAAGGGGGAGCAAGCACUCCUGCUUUGUGGAGGGGCAUUUCCCCCCUGGGGCCAGGUCUGUGCCUCUGCAGGGAGUCACCUGGGAUCCUUGGAACCAUCCCGGAGGGUCAGAUAGGAACAUAAUAAAGGGCAAGUCGCUAGAGAUCUGUGAUGACCACUAAAUGAGACAUCUUUGGAGACUUUUUCACUCUUCUAGUGGGAUUGGAAGAGAGGGUAGAAGUGUCAAUGGGGAAGGCAUCUCCAAAGAUGUGAGCCGAGCCAGCGAGAACAGUUUGUUUCCAUUACGAUGACUUUUAUAUCUUCUCUAGAUUGAUGCAUUCUGGAUCGAUACCAAUUGCUUUAGAAACCUAACUUAUUUUUAGAAUGUAUACUCGUUUGGAACUAAUUUAUGGCCCACCCUUGAAAAUUAGUCACCUUUGCCACUGACCAAAUUAGGCUAGUUUGAUCAACCACUCUUUCUAAGAGACGUGGUUCCAGGGACUUCUGCCAAUCUACAAAUAUUGGCUGCUGUGUCUCAAAAUAUCAUGAAGUAUUUUGAGCUAUUAUUAUUUAUAUUGAUAAAUGGGAAUUAUUUUUAUUUUACAAACCUGAAAUAUUUUUGUUUUAUUUUAAACCUGGUUGUUGCUAUUGGAGGCCUUAAGAAUGUCCUUUUGGCUACUACUAAAAAUGCCUCGACAUCUUAGUUCUGCCAUUAGUUGGCUCUGGGACCAUAGGCAAUGAAUUUUGGAACUUUGGGUAGUGAGUCUGUGACCUUCCCGGGGGUUUCUUGUCUUUCAUGCCUCCACCUCACCUCCCCCCCUUAGUUGAAACUGGAAGCCUACAGGGCAUUGAAGUUGCCUUCUUGCCUAUGUGAGAAAGUAUGGUAAAGUCGUUCUCUAUUGGGGGGUCGACAUUUGUUAUGGGGUAGCACUGGUCAUACUUAAAAAUGGUUAUUUUUCCAUCUUCCUGCCAAAGAUAGGAAGUGGGUUUUUUUGUUGUUGUUUGUUCAUCAAACCUAGGGAGUUUUCUGGAGGUCAAAUCCACAAAAGUAUUGGGAUAUUCCUUAAAAUUAGAGUUCUGAGGAUUUGUAUUACUCUCAAGGAAGCCCACAUUAGACGCCAGCAAUUCAUCAAAAUUAAAAUCUAGCUGUAAAUUUACCCCUACAUCUGUGGCUCUGGAAACUAAGCUGAACUCACCCCUACUUCUCCAUUUUCUGCCUGUCUCUAGAUUUAGAAAGGCCAGUUUGCCCUGCAACCUCAAGAAAAUUCUUUUCAUUUUCCUUCCAAUUUGUCCAAAUCUUUUCUUCUUGUAAGGUCUGAAGCAACAACUUCAAAGCUCUUUCUAUGUUGGAGCUGAAACGGGAAGUACCAAUUUUUUUAAAACAAAAAAUUUACAUUAACUACAUUAUCACUUGUCUCAUAUUAGUUUGCAUUACACUCUGAAUAGCUACCUUAAUAGAGGCAAAAGUGGAUAAUGUACCUAGUAAAAUUGCUUUAUGCACUCCUAAUAUUUUUUCUUGGCAACAUUAACACAUGUAACUCACAGCAAUGGCUUUUUUCCCCUCUAUAGAUGAUAUUUGUGACAUAAAUUUUCAAGAACUCUCAAAGGGUUGGGGAAAAGGAUUUUUUUUUUUGUAUUAGAAGACUUGGGGAAAAUCUAAACUAUUCAGAUUGACAUAACAAGUUUCUCUCAGUCAUUGAUAUAUUUAAACAUACUUUGUUCCAAAUAUUUUCAGCACACAUUCCUGUGAACUUUAAUUAAGGUGAUCUAAAAACAACAUCAGCCUACCCAAUAAAAGUGCUACAAUGUAUAUGAUUUAUGCAUACCCAGAAGCACUUUUAGGAAGAGAUACCAAAGCUUGAAUAUAGCUGGUAGGGCUUAUGGUUCUUCAGUUGCAUCACUCUUUCCAAGUCAGCAAUUGAAAGUAUAAAAUGAGAAGAGAAGUGUAUAGAUUUCCCUCCUUUCUUUACACCUAACCAUGUCAGAAAGGAAGCUAGGAAUCAAAAGAAAUAAUCCAAGGAGCCUACGAUGGCCACACCCUGUGUUAUUUUGCCACUGAUAAAAACUUAUAAAUUCUCUUAAGUUCCCGUGUAGACACAUAAAGUGAUUGGGCAGCAACAUGUCUGGGGUGGAUAGAUGAUAUACUUAAUGUGAACUGUAUCCUCCAUGAAACAAUCGUAACUGAGGAAAAUAUUUAAAACCUCAACAAAAGUUGCUGGAAGUUGUCCUAAGGACAUAAGCAAAUGGAGAAAUAUUUCCUGAAGAAAAUCUACUACUCUGAGUAAGCACUGUGAAAGUAUGCAAUAUUUAAGGCAUGCCUCAAACUCAGCUCAUUUUGACUAAGGCACUAUUCUCAGUGGGUUUACUCAAGAAGACAGGACUCAUUUCAACCCUAGUCCACAGUCUAGGCUCACAGUCUCUGCCUGGGAGGGGGAAGACACCAGCGUUCUUAUCACCCUAGCUGCAAGUUAUAGAAGCUCUAUUCCAGGCAGGCAAAGUUGAGACCUCACUGCUUCCACCCAGACCCACUCAUAGAGUGGAAGCUCUACUUCAGCCAUGGCAGACUGAGAACACUGGGCUCUGAUUAUGCCUAUCCUAGCCCCCUCUGAGAAACAACAUCAGAGGCUACACAAAGUGGAAGAAACAGAUUUGCUAGACUAGGCCAGCUAAAUUACUGAACAAGAAAUCAAACACACAGAAAUUCAUGGGGUUAUGGAAACCAGCAACCAGUGCUGGUUAUAAUAUAUUACCUAAAAUGUUCACUUUUUACCAAAAAAUAUGAAAUAUUCAAAGAAAGUUUGAACCAUACACAGGAAAAAAUAUAGACAACAGGAACUGUCUUGGAAAUGGCCUAAAUGGUGGACUUAGAAGAUAAAGAUUUCAAAUCAGCUACUAUAAGCAUAAGAACUAAAAGAAUCCAAAAUUAAAGAAUUUUCAAAAAGGUAUGCAUAACAAUGUCUCAUCAAGCAAAUACUACUAAAGAGAGAAAGAAAUUAUGAGAAAAAACCAAAUGGAAAGUCUGGCACCGAAAAUUAUAAUAAUUAAAAUGAAUUAUUCACAAGAGGGUAUGAAGAAUAGACUUAAACUGGCAAAAGAAAGAAUCAAUAAACUUGUAAAUAGAUAAAGAUGCAAUCUGAGAAAUAGAAAACAAAAGGAAUGCAUAAAAAUGAGCAGAGCCUCUGAGAAAUGUAGUAGCAUACCAACAUUUGCAUAAUAGGAGUACCUGGAGAAAAAGAGAGGGAACAGGAAAAUAUUCAAAAAAGUGGCUUAGAAUUUUUCUUAAUUUGAUAAAAGCCACUAAUCUGUACAUCUUAAAAGCUCAACAAAUGUAUACAAAUGUAUAUAAAAGCACAAAGAUCCGUACCCAGACACAUCAUAGUCAAAUGUUGAAAACUGAAAAAACU